rnacentral:misc_RNA from 1 species
GAAAUGCGAUAAGUAAUGUGAAUUGCAGAAUUCAGUGAAUCAUCGAAUCUUUGAACACACAUUGCGCCCGCCAGUAUUCUGGCGGGCAUGCCUGUCCGAGCGUCAUUUCAACCAUCAAGCCCCCGGGCUUGUGUUGGGGACCUGCGGCUGCCCGCAGGCCCUGAAAACCAGUGGCGGGCUCGCUGUCACACCGAGCGUAGUAGCAAUCACCUCGCUCAGGGCGUGCUGCGGGUUCCGGCCGUUAAACAGCCUUACAAAACCCAAGGUUGACCUCGGAUCAGGUAGGAAGACCCGCUGAACUUAAGC